rnacentral:rRNA from 1 species
UACGGGGGGGGCAAGCGUUGUUCGGAAUUACUGGGCGUAAAGCGCACGUAGGCGGAUAUUUAAGUCGGGGGUGAAAUCCCGGGGCUCAACCCCGGAACUGCCUUCGAUACUGGGUAUCUUGAGUUCGGAAGAGGUGAGUGGAAUUGCGAGUGUAGAGGUGAAAUUCGUAGAUAUUCGCAAGAACACCAGUGGCGAAGGCGGCUCACUGGCCCGAUACUGACGCUGAGGCACGAAAGCGUGGGGAGCAAACAGG